rnacentral:tRNA from 1 species
AGGUUAGCAAGAAGGAGUCUAGGUUUCUAACCUCCGGCCCAAGCGGUUGAAUUCCGUUUCUAUCCUU